rnacentral:rRNA from 1 species
GUGUCAGCCGCCGCGGUAAUACGUAGGCAGCGAGCGUUGUUCGGAGUUACUGGGCGUAAAGAGUGCGUAGGCGGUGCUCUAAGUUUGGUGUGAAAUCUCCCGGCUCAACUGGGAGGGUGCGCCGAAAACUGGAGUGCUCGAGUGUGGGAGAGGUAAGCGGAAUUCCUGGUGUAGCGGUGAAAUGCGUAGAUAUCAGGAGGAACACCUGCGGUGUAGACGGCUUACUGGACCAUGACUGACGCUGAGGCACGAAAGCGUGGGGAGCAAACAGGAUUAGAUACCCGCGUAGUCC